AACGAACGCUGGCGGCAGGCUUAACACAUGCAAGUCGAACGCAUCCUUCGGGGUGAGUGGCAGACGGGUGAGUAACGCGUGGGAACGUGCCCUUCAGUUCGGGAUAACCCAGGGAAACUUGGGCUAAUACCGGAUACGUGCGAGAGCAGAAAGAUUUAUCGCAGAAGGAUCGGCCCGCGUCUGAUUAGCUAGUUGGUGGGGUAAUGGCCCACCAAGGCGACGAUCAGUAGCUGGUCUGAGAUGAUGAUCAGCCACAUUGGGACUGAGACACGGCCCAAACUCCUACGGGAGGCAGCAGUGGGGAAUAUUGGACAAUGGGCGCAAGCCUGAUCCAGCCAUGCCGCGUGAGUGAUGAAGGCCUUAGGGUUGUAAAGCUCUUUCGUCCGGGACGAUAAUGACGGUACCGGAAGAAGAAGCCCCGGCUAACUUCGUGCCAGCCGCCGCAGUAAGAC
rnacentral:rRNA from 1 species